AUACGGAGGGUGCAAGCGUUAAUCGGAAUUACUGGGCGUAAAGCGUACGUAGGCGGUUUAUUAAGUCAGAUGUGAAAGCCCCGGGCUUAACCUGGGAACUGCAUUUGAAACUAGUAGACUAGAGUAUGGUAGAGGGGGGUAGAAUUCCUAGUGUAGCGGUGAAAUGCGUAGAUAUUAGGAGGAAUACCAGUGGCGAAGGCGGCCCCCUGGACCAAUACUGACGCUGAGGUACGAAAGCGUGGGGAGCGAACAGGAUUAGAAACCCCUGUAGUCC
rnacentral:rRNA from 1 species